GAAUGGAUCUGAGAUGAAAAAUACAAUUCUGUGACAGAUGUUUGGUGCAGGAACUAAACCAAGUCUUAAAACCUCUGAAUGAGUCUGGAUCACUGUGGUGGACAUUUGGUGGAGGCAUGCGUCUCUCUGUUGGAACUAACACCCAGCCCUCUCUGACGGUCCUCCCCCCCUCCAGCGCAGAGCUCCAGCAGGGGAAGGCUACACUUGUGUGUCUGGCCAAUAAGGGCUUCCCCUCAGACUGGAAGCUGAGCUGGAAGGUGGAUUCCAUUGGCUGGAGUGAAGGUGUGAGUGUGAGUCCCGCUGUGCUGCAGACAGAUGGCCUCUACAGCUGGAGCAGCACACUGACCCUCCCUGAGAGCAAGUGGAGGUGGACGGCAGCAGUGACUUGUGAAGUCACUCGGGACUCCCAGACCCCAGUCACCAAGAGCAUCAACACACAAGCGUGUACAGAGGAGUGAGCAUGUGUUUAUUAAACACACACACACACACACACACACACACACACACACACACAAACACAAAUCUGAGGAUUUUGAAAGUCGCAUACGAUUUUGAAGUUCAUUUCAGAUUUUACUGUCAAGCAUUCUUAAAUUUACAUCUUCGUUACUAUGUGUGCAAAAUAAAAGCAAAUAAAAUCUUUUUUGAAACAGAAA